rnacentral:tRNA from 2 species
AAUAAAUUGACAGAUUAUGUAUUAAAUUUAGAAUUUAAUUAAGUGGUAUAAUCCACAUUUAUUA